GUCUGCAAUUAAAUGCAUCUAGUCAGAUCUUAACGCAUCGUGGAGCUGAAGACCUGUUGAUUCUGUUCAUCCUUUAUCGUUUUUUCAAACGAGAAACACGAUUUUCUGUGGAAAUUUCCCCAUCAGGCGUUUCUGCUGAGACUGGCUCAGAAGAAGAAGGGCGCGGAUCGGAUUCUCUGGAAAACAAUCAUGUGAGGGAGCGCAAACAGAGAAGAAGGAGCGAAUUAGUUUUCAGACAGCCUCUAAUGAUGCCGUCAUCGAUUUCAGAGAGGAGUUGCGUUCCUCUUUUUUAGGCGGCGUGCCGGACGCUGAGCGGCUGUGCGUCUUGGAGAGGGCAGGGAGACGCGCAGCAUCAGCACCAACAUCAGCAGCUCCUCACAGUCUGCCCGGGUUCGGAUCAUCCACACACACCGACCACCUCCAUCUCUGCGUCUCUCCCUAAGAUCCCAUCAAGUCAUGUCUGAAACAGAGCGAUGGGCAAGUUCGACGACAACGAGAGGAUAAUCCUCAACGUCGGGGGCACCAGGCACGAAACCUACAAAAGCACCCUAAAGACCCUGCCGGGGACCCGACUGGCCCUCCUCGCCUCCGAUUCGGACAUCGACUCCGUCCUGGAUCAGCUGCAACAAGUCCCCGGCUUCAUCGAGUACAACGCGAGGACCAACGAGUACUUUUUCGACCGCCACCCAGGCGUCUUCGCCUACGUGCUCAACUACUACCGCACCGGGAAGCUCCACUGCCCGGCGGACGUGUGCGGACCGCUGUUCGAAGAGGAGCUCUCUUUCUGGGGCAUAGAUGAGACGGAUGUGGAGCCCUGCUGCUGGAUGACCUACCGGCAGCACCGGGACGCGGAGGAGGCGUUGGACGUAUUCGAGCUCAACGUGGACAACGGGGAGGAGGACGACGAGAUUGGGAAGAGGCUGGGGAUCGAGGACCUGGCCGCGGAGGGGAAUGUCAGCCUGUGGAGGAAGUGGCAGCCUGUGAUCUGGAACCUGUUCGAGGAUCCCUAUUCAUCCAGGGCGGCGCGGUUUAUUGCCUUUGCAUCUUUGUUCUUCAUCCUGGUCUCCAUCACCACAUUCUGCUUGGAGACCCAUGAGGCUUUCAACAAAAUCAUCAACAAGACUGACGUAUGGAACGGCAGCGAGCCCGACCCAAUUCCACAGUACGAGAUUGAAACUGAUCCUGCGCUCACGUAUGUGGAGGGCGUUUGUGUGUUCUGGUUCACCAUCGAGUUUCUCGUUCGUGUGACCUUCUGCCCUGUAAAGUUGGAGUUUGUCAAGAGUGUUCUCAACAUCAUUGACUUUGUGGCUAUUCUGCCCUUUUACCUGGAGGUAGGGCUGAGUGGCCUUUCUUCAAAGGCCGCCAAAGAUGUGUUGGGUUUUCUCAGGGUCGUGCGCUUUGUUCGUAUUCUGCGCAUCUUCAAGCUAACACGCCAUUUUGUAGGGCUAAGGGUGCUGGGCCAUACAUUGCGAGCCAGCACUAAUGAAUUCCUGCUGCUAAUCAUCUUCCUGGCCUUGGGAGUGUUGAUUUUUGCCACCAUGAUAUAUUAUGCUGAAAGAAUUGGUGCCAAGCCCAAUGACCCCACGGCCACCAACCACACCAAGUUCAAGAACAUCCCCAUUGGCUUCUGGUGGGCAGUGGUGACCAUGACUACUUUAGGCUAUGGAGAUAUGUAUCCAGAGACCUGGUCAGGCAUGGUGGUGGGAGCGUUGUGUGCUUUAGCUGGUGUACUGACGAUAGCCAUGCCUGUGCCGGUUAUCGUCAAUAACUUUGGGAUGUACUACUCUUUGGCCAUGGCAAAGCAGAAGCUGCCCAAGAAAAGGAAGAAACACAUCCCUCAGGCAGUACAAGGAAGUUCUCCAACGUACUGUAAAGGUGACCUCAACACGACUUGCAACAGCACUCAAGGUGACAUGUGCCAUGUCAAAGGGGGUAGAUUACUAGAACGCAAUCGUUCAGUUCUGUCAGCGGACUGCAGCGCUGGCAGCGACCUGAGCAUGUCUCCGGAGGAGAUAGUCCCCAUGCGAAGGUCCAGUUCACGGGAACAUGACCGCCGGAGUGGGGGGACAUGCUUCCUCCUUGCUGCUAGUGACUAUACGUGCCCUGCUGAUGGAGGGAUGAGAAAAGCAGGUAACUGCAUGUGCUAUGAGAAAUCCCGGAGCUUAACCAACAUUGCUGGCAUAGCUGGUAACACCCUGAGGUUGUCUCCUGUGAACUCACCCUACGGAUCACCCUGCCCACUACGCCGCUCUCGCUCCCCUAUCCCAUCCAUCCUGUGAGGCCUCCAGCCCAUGGUUGCUCAACAUGCUCCCCCUAAAAGAACAUGCUUCCUUCACAUUGUGUCUGAAAUCUACAUAAUAAUGAGACUAGAACAAACAUUGCUCACAUUGCAGCAGAGACUAAUGUUCAUAGGCUGGCAAUCUUAGCGGAAGGAACGUGUGUUAACAUCCUUAAGUAACAUGAUUGUUCUGCUUUGUCACUUGGAGUUCUCUUUAGUUCAAUGGCUUUGUAAUUUUGGACAUGCAAUAAAGGAGCCCUGACUGAAGUAGCAGCCAUAAACACAUGGAACUAUAUUACUAAUCAGGGAUAUUAGAUGUCGCUAUAUUUAGAAAAUCAUCAACAAAGAUGUGCUUCCAGGAACAAAAAAAAAGAGAGAUGUCACAGCAUUUAAAACCAGACAUGACUGUAAGUUUGUUUUUAUGAUUUAAGUUUUAUUUUGGGGUUUGAAAUGUGAUCGAUGGGUGUAAAGACACCAAGGGUGUAGAAGUUUCAGACCGAACCAGCACAGAGAGCUGGGACUGCUCACAUUUGAGCAUGAAUCUAAUUUUGCAAAUCAAACAAAGCUGGGAAAAUGGCUGGAAAAAGAUUGGGGAUCAAUAUGCACAUAUAUACUGCUUUUUUGUUUUGUUUUUCGGUUGUUGUUUUUUUUUUUUUUAUGAUGUUGGGUUUAUGUAAUAGUUUUCUUUCUUUCCACUGAGUGCCACCAAACUUGCUGUGUUUCUAAUUGUUUACUGGCAGAUAACUGCAAAGAGGUGGUGUUUACUGGUUUCACACAAGCAGAGAGCAGCGUUCUAUCUUAAUGGCUUUGGGAGACGGAAACCACCAUGGCAGACAGUGGGAUAAGACUGUCAUCAGUAAUGAUGACCUAUUGCAGCGGGAGACCCCCUAUUCGGAGCCGGGAGGCCACUGCUACAGGACAACAUGGAGGAGCCUGCACACAAGCUCAUGACUGACAGCAAACCCAGCUUAAUGUUCUGCCAACAAGAGAGGGACUUCUUUGUAAGACAAACAAAACAAAAAAAACUUGGGAGGACUUUACUAUGUUAAGCUCUCUCACAUUUAUUCUGACUUCUCAUUUUUUUUUUCUGUUCCUGCUUUGGAAUUGGAGGGGGAAAAAAAUGGUCCUUAAAGAGAAACUUUAUGUAAUAGACAUUGCUCCUGUACAUUAAACAACUGCAGCACAUCUGGGCCAAGUGGUUCUAUCCACACAUUUGUCUUUUGAUGGUGAGUCAGGUAUCAAGAUGGAUGGUAUGGUAGCUACGUAGUGUCGUAACACGCGACAUUUAUCACGUUUCUAGCUGUGGUAUCUCCUUCCCAUUGCAAUAAGUGUAUUAAGAUGUAUCAGUUGAGGCACUUUGUGUUUUGAAAAUGGAGCGUAAUCGUACUCUGCUUAAGGUAUAUACAGUGUAGAGAGACAUAAUGUGCUAAGUUGAAUAAAUACAACAUCACAGUCAUCUCUGCCUAUUUAUUAUUUGAUAGGCCCUGUCCACACUACCACAGAUAUUUAAAAAGAAACAGUUUUUUUUCUUUGGGUAUGCUUUCUAUUCUAUGCUAUAGUGAGUUUUUAUUGUAAUGAAAAAAGUACUGAUUAAACCAGUUUGGGUAUAAAGAUGCAAACUUUAACUUAAAAUAUGUGAAGUAUGGAUUUCAAUGCCAGAAACUUCUGCAUGUCACUUUUAGCCUAUCACUAGUUCAUACCUCACUCCAGAACUACACAUAGCCUAAACCUGUUUUUCUACAACAUUGUUUAUUUAGAUCCUAAAAGACAUACUUCAUUUUUUAUGUUGUAUUUAAGUCAUUACAUAAGUUAUUACAUUACAUUUUAAAGGCUUUAUUUUAGUCCCUCCAGUGAGUUUGGGCCUGCUUCAAGAUCUCCAACCAGUGGGACAUGGAGCAAGCUCCUUUAGUACUGUAUGUACUGUAUGUAGUACUGUCUUGUUCUUUCAUUCGUAAUCCAUUUUAUGGGUAUAAGGUAAUGGCCAGAGCUUUUAAAGGCUUGUAAAUCAAAAAGUUAAUUUUCUACCACAAUGGAAUGAAGAUGCACUUGCACACAUUGCGCACUCCAGUAAAGCAAGGGGCUAUGUCAUGUGGUCCUUUGGCCAUUGGAAAGGCCAUGCCAAACUGCCCUCAAGUUAGACGACAUAUAAAGGCUCCAUCAUCUUACCGCUUGUUCCCUAAUGGGGUCAGCAGACUGGAGCCCGGUAGUCAAUGGGCGAGAGGUCCGCCAGGCCAUCCCAGGGCCACACGCAAAGACAAACAACCACGCACACUCACUUGCAAUUUCGAAUCAACCUAACCUGCAGGUUUUUUUGUAUGAACCCAAAGAAAACCCAUGCAGACACAGGGAGAACAUGCAAACUCCACACAGAAAGGUCCUGGUUCCCCCUGUAAUCAAACCCAGAACCCUCUUGCUGUAAGGCACUGGUGUUAACCACCACACUACCGUGCCACCCGUAUAAAGGUCCAUUUGAAGACUUUCAUAAGGGUUCAGUAUGGAUGAUGUCGUUAAAUUACAAGAAGCCCCAUUCAGUUAUGUCAAACCACCGCAGGAAGGGGUGUAGAUUGAUUACAACGGGAACCGUGUAGCAAGGACCUUAAAUCCAAAUUUCUUUAUCCCAAUUCAUGUAAAACACGAUUUAUCUCCUGGUGAACUGACUUAUCAAAGAUGUUGUUCAUGAUCUUUGAUAAAACACAUAUAGCUUUACAGAAACAGCUGUUGGGAGACGCUGUAAAUGGAAUCAUAUGACCCAGUUUUCUUCUAGAUAAUAAGCAAAUUAUAAAAAAAAUAUAAAUAUCAGUUUUUCAAAACAAAUAUUAAACCAUCGCCUAUUAAAAAGGGCAAAAUGACAGUUAACAAUGCAAAUGGAUGGUUAUAAUUUCUGAAAAAGGCAUGUCCUAGAUGAUGAAAAGAUGGCAUAACUUUGGAAUUCCUUGGGAAAAUAAGGACUUAAUUGAUUUAAUAUUUUCUAAUCUUUAUCACUUUCCUCGAGCUAUAUAGCUAUUAAAUUAAAUUGUUUUAGCCUAUCACUUCUUUAAACAUGCUCAUAAUCUCCUUUCAUUUUUUUUUUUUUUUUUCAUGUAGCAAUGUUGACAAUUUUCCCAACCUAUUGUUGCAAUAGGUUGCUCAAUCUGCUGAUUGAAGAAGAAAAAAAACUCUGUUUAAAAAUAUCUUGUGUGGUGUAGCAGGGCCUCGGUAGAUUCAGUGCUCUACUGUAUGUAAAUGUGAGUGUGUAUGUUUAUCCGUGUCCAAAAUACUCUUGGUUGAAAGCUGCAGUUUGAAACACUAGAUCAUGGAAGACCAAGUGGACCUGAUGCUAAAUCUUCCAGUUAGUUUUAGCACAAACCUGAAUGAGACAGAGCUCCCCCUGUGAUGCAGCUGCCAUUAUAGAAGCCCCAACUCCCUACCCCCCUUUUUAUGCAUUUAGUGCUGCUCAUUUCUCUCUCUUUGCAAACCAAAUUUAUUAUUCCUCAUAAUCUCUGGUUGCUACAGAAGAAAAAAAAAACUGCAUGACUUGAUUCUUCCAAGCUUUGUUUCACCCUUAACCCCUCUGUAUGGGGACGGAGCAAAAGUGUAGCAUAAAUUGACCACGUCCCUAAGUGGGACUUAUGCGGUACACAUCUGCACCGUAGCAAUCCUGUGUACCCACACAAUCAGAUCCGAUUUGCAAUAAGCAAAACGAAAAAAGCACCGACCCGCACUGUGACUUCAGCAGCCAGUUAAAGCAGGAAUGCAAAAGGAGAAGCGAGAAAAUUAAAUAAGCCCCAAUACAGGCUGUUGGUAGCGACCUGCAAAGUUAUAGGCUAGUUGUUGAAGUAUCAGCCCGUACACACAAUCCUCCUUGUGUAGUAACCACGCUGCUUUACUCUUUUGAAUUGUCAAAAGAGAACCAUUCUUGUGUACUUCUAAGAUUAUAUUGUGACUUGAAAAAAAAAAAAAAAAAUGUGUUUAUUUUUUUGAAUCCAGAACAUGUAUUUUUGUGUCUUACUGUUGACUACAUUGCUCUGAACGGUAAAAGUCAUGGUAGUCUGAUGGUGUGCUUCUCCAUUGUGUGUUCAAACUGUUCAAGCUUUAGAUCCAAGGUUACAUUUUGUACGUUUUACCGUGUGGAGAAACUCUAGUUUUAAGUGUGUAUUUGUGGAGCUUUUUGUUGUCAUUCUAAAAUGCAUGCUAAAAAAAAAUGAAUCACUAUGUCAAACUGUACAAAAAAAGAGAUGACCUACUGUAUAUCACGCUGUGUAUAGAAUUAAGGUAAAUGCUAUG